GCUAGCUUACGAAUCAAUCCGGUA
rnacentral:siRNA from 1 species